CGUCGUGACACACACGCACACACACGUGUCCACAGACAGAGCCAGGUAGACGCGGAUGCGCAUGCGCAUGCAUCUCCUCGCUCUUGCACGGUGUUCCUCUUGCACUACGGCAGCGCCACCGGACCGGCGCUGAUCAUGAUGCUGCUCAUCAGCUGUAUCGCACGCACGCUCUCUGUCUGUCUCUCUGCGCCCGUGCAUGUGAUGUGCGCUCCGUCGAUGGCGAAGAGAAGGCGAAGAGCGAACAUAGCGUGCCAAGCGCUCGCGAGCAGCAGCAGUAGCAGCAAGCAGCGAGGCCUUGGAAACGAAGAGAAAGAUGGCGCAGCUGCAAGGAGUGCGCGCGCGGCCUCAUGAUCUGUAGGAAGAGGCAACAGAGAGCGGAGGAGAGCAUGGCCAUGCGCACAUGUAUAGUUGCGCCAUUUUAUUUCCACAUAAAACAGAGACAGCACUCUUGCCGUCAUGCUGCGCGCAUCUGCGUGUGCGCGUCGCUCUCCUUCCUAUGACGCGGCACCGACCUUGAGUAAACGCACUGCACGGAUGCGUCACCACCACCACCUUAGCGGGCGAUCGGAACCCCUCCCUUUCCAUUCCUUCAGUGACAGCAGUUGCGUUGAAGUUCGGCCCUGCUAUCCUCCUCCUCCUCCUAUGUAUGUGUCUUCAGCUGCCUCUUAGCCUGUGCUGCACGUCACGACGACGACGACGAUGGCAUUGCACAACACUUCAUUGCCCUUCCGCCCCCGCUGUUGCUGCUGCCACCCUCUCCCUUCUCCCCCUCUCUCGCUCGGUCUGUAUGUCUUGCCCAACCUCUGCCGCAAAACCUCCCCCUGCCCCCCAACACACACAAACACACACACACACACGCAUGCGUGAUCCUCGGCAACAAG
rnacentral:misc_RNA from 1 species